GACGAACGCUGGCGGCGUGCUUAACACAUGCAAGUCGAACGGAAAGGCCCUGCUUUUGUGGGGUGCUCGAGUGGCGAACGGGUGAGUAACACGUGAGUAACCUGCCCUUGACUUUGGGAUAACUUCAGGAAACUGGGGCUAAUACCGGAUAGGAGCUCCUGCUGCAUGGUGGGGGUUGGAAAGUUUCGGCGGUUGGGGAUGGACUCGCGGCUUAUCAGCUUGUUGGUGGGGUAGUGGCUUACCAAGGCUUUGACGGGUAGCCGGCCUGAGAGGGUGACCGGCCACAUUGGGACUGAGAGACGGCCCAGACUCCUAAGGGAGGCAGCAGUGGGGAAUAUUGCACAAUGGGCGGAAGCCUGAUGCAGCAACGCCGCGUGCGGGAUGACGGCCUUCGGGUUGUAAACCGCUUUCGCCUGUGACGAAGCGUGAGUGACGGUAAUGGGUAAAGAAGCACCGGCUAACUACGUG
rnacentral:rRNA from 1 species